GAACGGGUGAGUAAUAUAUCGGAACGUACCCUGGAGUGGGGGAUAACGUAGCGAAAGUUACGCUAAUACCGCAUACGAUCUAAGGAUGAAAGUGGGGGAUCGCAAGACCUCAUGCUCGUGGAGCGGCCGAUAUCUGAUUAGCUAGUUGGUAGGGUAAAAGCCUACCAAGGCAUCGAUCAGUAGCUGGUCUGAGAGGACGACCAGCCACACUGGAACUGAGACACGGUCCAGACUCCUACGGGAGGCAGCAGUGGGGAAUUUUGGACAAUGGGCGAAAGCCUGAUCCAGCAAUGCCGCGUGAGUGAAGAAGGCCUUCGGGUUGUAAAGCUCUUUUGUCAGGGAAGAAACGGUGAGGNNUAAUAUCUCUUGCUAAUGACGGUACCUGAAGAAUAAGCACCGGCUAACUACGUGCCAGCAGCCGCGGUAAUACGUAGGGUGCGAGCGUUAAUCGGAAUUACUGGGCGUAAAGCGUGCGCAGGCGGUUUUGUAAGUCUGAUGUGAAAUCCCCGGGCUCAACCUGGGAAUUGCAUUGGAGACUGCAAGGCUAGAAUCUGGCAGAGGGGGGUAGAAUUCCACGUGUAGCAGUGAAAUGCGUAGAUAUGUGGAGGAACACCGAUGGCGAAGGCAGCCCCCUGGGUCAAGAUUGACGCUCAUGCACGAAAGCGUGGGGAGCAAACAGGAUUAGAUACCCUGGUAGUCCACGCCCUAAACGAUGUCUACUAGUUGUCGGGUCUUAAUUGACU
rnacentral:rRNA from 1 species